rnacentral:rRNA from 1 species
AGGAAGGUUCGUCCGCUCAGGGUAAGUCGGGACCUAAGGCGAGGCCGAUAGGCGUAGUCGAAGGACAACAGGUCGAAAUUCCUGUACCACCGUAAUCCGUUAUGAGCGAUGGGGUGACGCAGUAGGGUAGUGACGCGGACUGAUGGAUGUCCGUCUAAGCAGUGAGGCUGAUGUGUAGGCAAAUCCGCACAUCGUAAGGCUGGGCUGUGAUGGGGAGCGAAAAUUACAGUAGCGAAGGUCAUGAUCUCAGACUGCCAAGAAAAGCCUCUAGCCAGGAGAAGGUGCCCGUACCGCAAACCGACACAGGUAGGCGAGAAGAGAAUUCU